rnacentral:tRNA from 1 species
UAAAAUAGUUUAACUUAAAAUAGUGAUUUGUGGUAUCAAAGAUUAAUUUAUA